rnacentral:rRNA from 1 species
GACAGAGGGGGCAAGCGUUGCUCGGAAUCACUGGGCGUAAAGGGCGCGUAGGCGGGCUGGCAAGUCGGUCGUGAAAUCCUUCGGCUCAACCGAAGAACGUCGGCCGAUACUGCCGUUCUUGAGGGAUGCAGAGGAGAUUGGAAUUCCCGGUGUAGCGGUGAAAUGUGUAGAGAUCGGGAGGAACACCGGUGGCGAAGGCGGGUCUCUGGGCAUCUCCUGACGCUGAGGCGCGAAAGCUAGGGUAGCAAACGGG